UGCAAGUCGAGCGGUAGAGUGACUUCGGUUGCUUGAGAGCGGCGCACGGGUGAGUAACGCGUACAUAACCUGCCUUUAAGACCGGGAUAGCCCUGGGAAACUGGGAUUAAUACCGGAUGUGAUUACGCAUAUAGAGGUGUGUAAUUAAAGUUGAGGCGCUUAAAGAUGGGUGUGCGUCUGAUUAGCUAGUUGGUGAGGUAACGGCUCACCAAGGCGACGAUCAGUAGGGGGCGUGAGAGCGUGGCCCCCCACACGGGUACUGAGACACGGACCCGACUCCUACGGGAGGCAGCAGUAAGGAAUAUUGGUCAAUGGGCGAAAGCCUGAACCAGCCAUCCCGCGUGCAGGAUGAAGGUCCUAUGGAUUGUAAACUGCUUUUGGCAGAGAAGAAACGCCUUCAUUUAUGAGGGUCUGAGGGGGGUCUGCAGAAUAAGCACCGGCUAACUCCGUGCCAGCAGCCGCGGUAAUACGGAGGGUGCGAGCGUUAUCCGGAAUCACUGGGUUUAAAGGGUGCGUAGGCGGGGAAUUAAGUCAGUGGUGAAAGCCUGUCGCUUAACGAUAGAAUUGCCAUUGAUACUGAUUUUCUUGAAUUGGGUUGAGGUUAGCGGAAUGUGACAUGUAGCGGUGAAAUGCAUAGAUAUGUCAUGGAACACCAAUUGCGAAGGCAGCUAACUGGGCCUUGAUUGACGCUGAGGCACGA
rnacentral:rRNA from 1 species